ACCUGUCUCUGGCGUGCGGGGGCAGGUGUGACGCUGUGAAUAGUACACAAAGAUUAUUCUGUCUCUUUGCAUGCAGUUCUGGUCACCACUGGCUGAGCUUGUCCAGGUAGACCCACAGGCCAGAGCUGACACAUCGUCUUGUUGGGAGACUCGUGCAGUAGUUUCUAACACCACAGCUUAUGAUGAGCACCAACCUCUUCUGUACUGCUGUUCAUGGGACAUGGAAAUAAAAUGUCAGCAAGUCCACGGCAGGAUGCACUCCCGUGGCGAAGCAAUCUUGAUGCUGCUUCACGGUCCACUCUGCAAUGACGAGAAGGCGUAUCCAAAUCAGAGACGUAGAAGUGACGGCCCAGAAUUGCAUGGAAUGGCGCAGGAUGGUCCACAAGAGACGUCGCCUUGAUGCAGACCACUUGACACAACGAUGAAGAGACCUUAUCAAGUAUCAAACAUGACCGUAAUGUCAUGACCCAGGACCAAUAGGUCGAUGCUCGCCAUGCCCCAACCUUGUGCCCUUGGGAAAGGCACUUUACACGAUAUACUGUGGGACUGUGGAAGGAGAGCGACCCCGUGGGCGUCAGAGGAAAACCUGGCAAGACAACAUCAGCGAUUGGACAUCGCUUAACCUACAGGAAAGACUGGCUGUAGCAGAAGACAGAGGGGCCUGGAGACAACU